GCCCUUCGGGGCUCCUUGGUGAAUCAUAAUAACUUAACGAAUCGCAUGGCCUUGCGCCGGCGAUGGUUCAUUCAAAUUUCUGCCCUAUCAACUUUCGAUGGUAGGAUAGUGGCCUACCAUGGUAUCAACGGGUAACGGGGAAUUAGGGUUCGACUCCGGAGAGGGAGCCUGAGAAACGGCUACCACAUCCAAGGAAGGCAGCAGGCGCGCAAAUUACCCAAUCCCGACACGGGGAGGUAGUGACAAUAAAUACUGAUACAGGGCUCUUUUGGGUCUUGUAAUUGGAAUGAGUACAAUUUAAAUCCCUUAACGAGGAACAAUUGGAGGGCAAGUCUGGUGCCAGCAGCCGCGGUAAUUCCAGCUCCAAUAGCGUAUAUUAAAGUUGUUGCAGUUAAAAAGCUCGUAGUUGAACCUUGGGCCUGGCUGGCCGGUCCGCCUCACCGCGUGUACUGGUCCGGCCGGGCCUUUCCUUCUGGGGAACCUCAUGCCCUUCACUGGGCGUGUUGGGGAACCAGGACUUUUACUUUGAAAAAAUUAGAGUGUUCAAAGCAGGCCUUUGCUCGAAUACAUUAGCAUGGAAUAAUAGAAUAGGACGUGUGGUUCUAUUUUGUUGGUUUCUAGGACCGCCGUAAUGAUUAAUAGGGAUAGUCGGGGGCAUCAGUAUUCAAUCGUCAGAGGUGAAAUUCUUGGAUUGAUUGAAGACUAACUACUGCGAAAGCAUUUGCCAAGGAUGUUUUCAUUAAUCAGUGAACGAAAGUUAGGGGAUCGA
rnacentral:rRNA from 1 species